rnacentral:rRNA from 1 species
AUUGAACGCUGGCGGCAGGCCUAACACAUGCAAGUCGAGCGGAUGAAGGGAGCUUGCUCCUGGAUUCAGCGGCGGACGGGUGAGUAAUACCUAGGAAUCUGCCUGGUAGUGGGGGAUAACGUCCGGAAACGGGCGCUAAUACCGCAUACGUCCUGAGGGAGAAAGUGGGGGAUCUUCGGACCUCACGCUAUCAGAUGAGCCUAGGUCGGAUUAGCUAGUUGGUGGGGUAAAGGCCUACCAAGGCGACGAUCCGUAACUGGUCUGAGAGGAUGAUCAGUCACACUGGAACUGAGACACGGUCCAGACGCCUACGGGAGGCAGCAGUGGGGAAUAUUGGACAAUGGGCGAAAGCCUGAUCCAGCCAUGCCGCGUGUGUGAAGAAGGUCUUCGGAUUGUAAAGCACUUUAAGUUGGGAGGAAGGGCAGUAAGUUAAUACCUUGCUGUUUUGACGUUACCAACAGAAUAAGCACCGGCUAACUUCGUG